UGGUGGAGUGAUUUGUCUGGUUAAUUCCGUUAACGAACGAGACUUGUGUUUUAUUUUGAUGUUAUGAGACGGGCUUAUUGAUAAGCAGGAGGUUGCAAGCAAUAACA
rnacentral:rRNA from 1 species